UCUGGGGCCGAGCGCUCUCCCGCCGGUCCGCACCGGCGCUGGGUAUUUGCUUUCGCGGCAGUCAGGCCAGCCGAGCCCGUUUCCAGCUCGGGGCAGCGGGACGGAGGGCCCGGCCGGCGGGGCAGCCAUGGAGGCGGCGGCACGGAGGCGGCAGCACCCGGGAGCGGCGGGUGGCCCGGGCGCGCAGCCGGGCGCCUCCUUCCUGCAGGCCAGGCACAGCUCCGUCAAGGCUGAUGAGGUUGCCAGCACGGCUCCCUUCCACCUUGAUCUCUGGUUCUACUUCACCCUGCAGAACUGGCUUCUAGACUUUGGCCGCCCCAUCGCCAUGAUGGGGGAACUGAGGCCUGAAGAGGGGAAGAACUUGCCCAGGGUCACCCAGAACGUUGGUGCACAACUGAGUCCCAAAGGAGCCUCCAACUCUCAGCUGGUGUUUCCUCUUGAGUGGUUUCCGCUUAACAAGCCCAGCGUGGGGGACUACUUCCACAUGGCCUACAACAUCAUCACGCCCUUUCUUCUGCUCAAGCUCAUCGAGCGGUCCCCACGCACCCUGCCGCGCUCCAUGAUCUAUGUCAGCAUCAUCACCUUCAUCAUGGGCGCCAGCAUCCACCUGGUGGGUGACUCUGUAAACCACCGCCUGAUCUUCAGCGGCUACCAGAACCACCUGUCAGUCCGCGAGAACCCCAUCAUCAAGAAUCUCAAGCCGGAGACGCUGAUCGACUCCUUUGAGCUGCUCUACUACUACGACGAGUACCUGGGCCACUCCAUGUGGUACAUCCCCUUCUUCCUCAUCCUCUUCAUGUACUUCAGCGGCUGCUUCACUCCCACCAAAGCUGAGAGCUCAAUGCCAGGACCAGCCCUGCCCCUGGUGGUGCCCAGCGGCCUGUACUACUGAGCAGCAAAGAUGGCUGCCGAGUCCUGUCUGCCGCACACGGUGGGGUGUUGCUCCAGGAUGUUGCUUCAAACGUGUAAGAUCCCCUAUCCAACGAAUCACUGAUGUCUCUGUCACUGUCUCUGGGCUGUUCCUUUGGUCUCAAGGCUGGGCCACUACAAGGCUUGCAGGCCUGCGGGAGUGCAGCCCAACAAUUGGCGAGCCAGCCGAGAAGCCGGGGAAACUCCCGGGCGCACCGAGAUGUCGGGGAAGAAGGACGGGGAAUGGAACGUUGUGAGGAAUCCGGGGGGUGGCCAUCCACUCGUGUGCGGGGCCCUGUGGCGUCUGUCCUUGAUGAAUGAGGGCCGCCAAGAGACUGGCGAAUCCACAGACCACCCUGAGGGUGUUGCAGAGAUGUCGCUGCCAUUACUGUGGGGAAAAAGAAGCUAGACGGUGGAAGGGGUGGCCAUGGCUGUGGGCUGGCUGCUGCUUUGGAGGCUGAGAAAGGCCACAGACACUGAGCAAGUGCCCAAGGCUCAGGUUAGGGGCCUACAGGUGGGGUGCCAGGCUGGCCCAAACCAAAACUGCCGGAACGUUAAUGGCCAGGUUGAGGCAACAAGAUGGGAAGCAGACAGCCCACCACGCCGCGUGGCUGAAGGGAAGGUAGCUUCCCCGACAGGGAGUCCAGAUGGCUGGGGCCCGUCCAGAUGGGAACCCCAAGGCGUGGGACCCUACAGAGAGCACUGAUGGAGAGGAAGAAGAUCGGGACGAGGUCAUCGAGCUCCCUGUCCCCCAGGCGCAGAUGAAGAGCUCUUUUCUCCCCCGGAGCGGAGGCAGCAGACCAUCAGGAGGGAUGCCUCUCUCUCCCACCAUAAUGGUGAUAUUCUGUUAACCUCAGGGUGUGUUUCCCGUUUCAAAGUAGCAGCCCCCACGCUUGGAGCUCAUUUGACGGCAGAGGGAUGGCUGGAGAAUGCAGACAGAAGGCAAAGACCUGGAUGACCUGUCAAAUACUUGGGUGUUAUCUGGUCAGGCAACGUAGCCCUUGACCUACUGGCCCACCGAGUGCAGAGUUACACGCUGAGGCCUGGUUACCUACACCACGGAGGACCCCACCGGCCUGACGGAGACAGCUGAUCCUCCUGAGAUACCACCUUUAGUGGAAGAAGGCACAGGCUCCAUCCCUUGGGAGGUUUCGUACACUGAUGGGUUGGCCCCCGGGGUAAUCAGUGCAGGUGGGCAGCAGUGGCCAGCCGGCCUGCAACGGACAGCAUCUGGAUGGAUGCAGUGGAUAGCCCAGGAGUGGAUGGUGGCGGGGCGACCCUAUGGGGAAAGGACCCCGAUAGUGACCAAGGAACCCACUUUAUGGGCCACGAAAUUCAGGCAUGGGCUGAUAAAAAUGACAGACACUGGCAUUUCCCCCUGCACUACAACGCCCCUGCUGCCGGGCUAAGCCGAGGGACGAAUGGACCACUUAACCCGCUAGUGAAACUGGAAACCCGCUCUCUUGACACGUGGACCAGGACGCUAACUCAGCCCCUCCGAGCUGUAACUGAACAUCCCAGGAGCAGUCGACCCAGUGCCUGCAGCAUGUUAACCCAGAAGCAACUAGGCAACACCAUCCAAGUUCAACUGUUGACCACCGAAGGACCAGUACUGAUCAGGACAAUAACUUGUUUUCACCCUGGCCGCCGGACCUAUUGCUAGGGGAACCCAGUACAAAAUGGCCUGGGAGUGGCAGCCUGAGCAGAGGGAAUCUGUUUGGGACCUGGACAGCAGUGGUGGCCUCGCCAUUGGUAAGUCUGACUGCUGGGUCUACAGCGAGAUGCUGUCGUCAUCCUCCUCUGGACUUCCAUGAAAAGUUGACCCAAUAAGCGCCUGGCUCCAAAGUCUGCCCACCUCUUGGACUCUUGAUACUCCUUAGCAGCUGUUGACUCUGUUGCAUUUGUGGUAUUUGGUUGCAGUGCCCUCUGCAUACCUGACCCCAGGGAUAUGGCGGAAGAGGGUCAGACCAAGAUUGUAAGGGUCAUAUAGGGUGUGUAGGGGUGGAGUGUAUGGUCAGGCCAUUCAAGAUGGCUGUUCUCUUGCUCUCUGUACAUCCCCAGCUCGACCAGGCCCUGCUUCGCUCCCAUGACUAUCCAAUCCUCUUAAUCGUAGGCCUUCAUCAGUAACUACUAGCUACCUCUGUGCUUGCCCCUGUCCCAGCUGCUGGUUUGCCUGGUCACUGAGGAGCCCACCUGAAGCCAAUUCCCCCUGUAACUGGUAGCCUCCUCCUCCCCUGUAGCAGUGAAAACUGCUGCUGUGUCCUGCCUGCCACCUUCCAUCCACAGUGGGGAGUCGCUGCAGGAUGUCGUUUUGGACACGUAAGAUCCCCUAUCCAACAAAUUGUCAUCUCUGUCGCUGCCUCUGGGCUUUUCGGUCUCGAGGCUGGGUUACUACAAGGCCCAACAGUCAUGUCUCCUCCAAGAGACACUUUCCAGACACAGGGAGAUUCCGAGUAAGCACUUGGCCCGGCCCUGCCAGCCUUCCCCCCAGGCCUCUGCUCUGUGCUCCCCACCCUUCCAAGCCCCCACCUGACGUCCCGUCUCCUCUUCUCCCAUAAGGCUGUCAGUGAGAAGUUCCCCUUCUCUCCUGCCUCCCUCCAGUCUCUCCUCUACUCAGCCCAAACGGGAAGAGUGUGAAUCCUCCAGCUGAAAUUCUCUGGGUCUAGAAAUGGGUGUGAACAGGUGACUCGAGAGACGCGAAGUGGAGGAAAAGAGAACCUUCCACAUGGAGGUGGUCAAGGGACAAAGGAGAGCCCCAGCUGUCCAUGUGCCAAUUACCAACGCAUCCCUCUGCGCACAUGCAGCCCCUUUCUAGGACCCACUUGUCCCUGGUCCGGGAGCUCUGGUGCAGUGCACAACAUGUGCAGCCGUACGUGUCGGUCCUGACAAAGUGGCUGGACCUUGGAGUCGGAGCCCACAGGCAGGACAGCCGUCAGCCGUGGACAAGGGAUAUAACAGGUGUCUGGGAGAAGAACGGGGAGAACCUAGCUGUGCCCAGCGCUGUAGCUCCAGGGAACCGCCCCCCUCACUUCCUCGGUGGGUGUGGGGAGGGGUGGGGGGCAGCACAAACCACUGAGAAGUGGGGAGAGUCAGCAGCUUCUGCCGGAAGGGGUGGGGGCUGUGGUGGGGAGAGGAGGGAAAGGAAGAAAAGGGGGGAGACUUCCCAGCCGGGAAAGUCACUUAAGAGGCCUCCCUCUGAGCCCCCUGGGCAGCCUGUGGUGGGGCCGGAGACCGCAACGCAGGCAUCUACUGCGUCCCCACCCCAAACCGCACCCCC